UGUAGAUUUAUGGUGUCCUAACCACAAGAUUCUUGGCAGUUUAAGGCAUCUUCAAAGUUCUGACUGUGAGAAGUAAUGGGCAAAUCACAGUUAGCUAACUAAUGUUUUGCUAGGAUAAGGUAGAAGUGAUAAACUGACCUCAUAUAGAUAGGACAAGGCUUGUUGGUUGAAGGUAUGGUAGGAUAAGCUAACAUGUCUCUCAGGUGGAGUAGAUUGUUCAUGAAUGCUGAUCCAUUCUAGGACAGGCUGUUGAAAUUUCUCAAUUAUGCAAGCACUUUCACUAAAAAUCUGAACCAUUGAGGAGCAGUGAUGAAUUGCGAAGUUCUAAUUACCAAAAAAACCAAGAUGCAAACAUUUAGAUAUGAUUCAUGCUUUGGGUUCAGCAUUAGAAUCCACAUAAGUCAUGCAUAGAACAUCGGAAUACAUGAAUAAAUUGCCUCACUUUUCAAGUUCAUGCUCAAGGUGGAUUUUAGACCAGGAUUCUUUCAUGGAGAGACAUAUCAUAAGUCUGGCAACGGAAAAGGCAAGAAUAAGGCAGUGAAGACUUGUGAUUAACCGCAUAUCAUAUCGAUAAGGAAUGCUUGUGACCACUACCAUGUGAACAAGGUCAGGUAUGAAUCAAUGGGUGUGCUCAUGAAUUCACAACUACCGCCUUUGUUGAAAGCAAGACUUCAUUUUAUCCUUAAAACAGUCAAGAAAAGGAAUUUUCAAGUUUUAUGCUGAUUCCAGAGACUUUAACUGACAGCUACUGAAUCCACAACCUUUUUCUCCAGAGCUUACGAAACGCUGAUAUUUAGCUCAUAUUUCUCUCGUGACUAUAUGCAGGGAAAAUGUAAGUGUGUAUACUUAACUAAAUCUAAAAUAUGAGUAGAAAUCAUCAUGACAAUCAUCAAAAGUGGUCUUGCAGAGUAAGAACUUCUAAUCUAUAGGUACCAUACUUCAAGUGUAACACUCUAACAAUAUGUCCUCGCUUAUUAAACAACUUGAUUAAGCUCCUUCUCCUAGACCUUUCAUUGAAUCAUGGUUUAUACAUCAUAACAUUCUUAACAUAGUCAUGCCUACAUCACUGAUAAUAUUAUAGAUAAAUCCUCUUCUAUCAAAACUUGCAAUGAAACAAAGUCAACAUGUUUUACCCUUCUCCUAAAUUUUGAUAGGAUAUGCCAAUAUCAAGUUAUGUAUCAGAGUCCAUGCCUAUAUGGCCUUAACAAAAGUAGUGCAAACCUUCUCCACACAAUAAGUAUGUGCAGAAACAAAAAACAAGGUACCAGUCAUGAAAUUUCAAUAUCUCAAGCAAGAGAAGCAUCCUUGUACCUUGCAUGAACUGGACAGUUUUCAUGGAUGGUCAGAGGACUCACAACCCUGUGAACGAUGAUCAAGCUGUGGAACCUAUACCCAUACUUCGUAUUUCUAGCAUACAGAUUGUCUCCCAUCAGUUUCCCAGGUUCAAAAAGAGGCCUGAUCAUGAUUGAGUCUACAGUUAUUUCUCAAGAUAAUCUAUAGUAAAAUAGUACAUCAACAUCAGAAAUAUCUGAAACUUUGAUCUGCUUCAACAUGUUCAAAUCCUGGAAUGAACCAUUAGCAGAUAUCUCAACUUGAUAUAACUCCAUGGUUCAUAGCUUUCUCGGAAAUCCAUUCAUGCAAAACCCUCCUUAAACUUUGCUUGCUUUCUAUGUUUGUUUGCUGGUGCUUUGCACUUAAGAGUUGUUCUAUUGCAGCAUCCUAAAAGAUGCUUUGAUGUCCUCCACAAUGCCAUAUGCAGUAAUUCAUAAUAGCAGUCGGGUCAAUGCAAUUUCUGGAUUCCUUUUAUGAAACACUUUAAAUAGGACUGCUUUAGAUGAAUUCUUGUUAGAUUUAUGGAUACAAACUUCACUUUGGUACAUCAGAAUUUACUUUCUAUUACCGUACCAAGCUGUAAUUCUAAGCAGAUACUAAAGUUCUGUUGAACAGCUUCAGUUUGGCCACCUUUCUGUAAAUGAUGGGAAUUGCUAUGGGUUUUUUACGUUGCAUGUAAUACACCACCUCCAAGUCCAGUUACUGUUUUUUUUUUUUUGAAAAAAAAAUUCACACAUAGUUUGAGCUCCCAAAAAAAUCCUAAAGAUAGCAUUAGAGGGCUAUACUCGAGUUUAAGUAAAGUUGUUGCCAGUAGAGUUGAUGUAAUCCCAAGCAUAACAAUCUUAGCCCAUAGGAACUUGGUCUGAGCAACCUCUCAUCUCUUUUAAAGCAUCCAAAAAAUGAUUCUCUUGUGGUAAUCCAACAACAUACAAAAUAAGCCCAGAGUAAGUGCUAAUUUCAAGUUAUGAACCUCGAAUUGUUCAAAGUGAUAAUUUCAAGUUAUGAAGCUCGAAUUGUUCAAAGAAAAUUUAAUCAAAUCCCUGGUGUUCGGAAGUUCCAAUUUAAACCUCAUCUAUAAAUCUAGUCAUGCCAACAGACUUGCACUACAUCAAUCCUGGUUUGAGAUUUUGCAAUCAGCUCCAACCUCAUGAUCUGAUAACAAAGGCUAGUGUUGAUUUUUUCUCAUAAUCAGAUCACUGAUUUGGCUACUUCAGCAUCUCUUGAUCCUUGAUAAUGAAGCAUCCCAUCCACCAUCGGAUAACAUUGCCCUACAAUCCAACAUAUCACAACCAAAUAGCGAUUAGUUGUACUUUCUGAAGGGCAUUAUUUCUUAAAUUAACAAUCUGAUCCUGCAUGGUGCUGCACUGCUGCUAUUAUGGUUCUUCAAUAGCGGGGUCCUCUAUGCUUUUUCUGUUUCUACCAUGUUAAAAUCUUCCGCAAUCAAACUGCCAUCCAUUAGGUCAAUAUAGCAAUAGGAUUGUGUUCCCUCAAAUGGGAGGUGACAAAGUUAUCCAUACUUAAACCCUCAAUUGUCCAACUUUUUUCUAGUGCUUGGUAUAAUAUAUUUUAUCUUCAUUGCAACAGUAAUAUUGCAAGAAUCUAAGCACAUCUUCUUCUUGUCAUCAAUAUAGUCGAACAAGUUGCAGUUUUCCUACAUAAUCUUAAAGUUUCAAAUAGCCUCCAUGGUGUUGAAUCAAUUUGCUCUAAUAUCACAAAAUCUGGUUCUAACCCAGAAAAUCAAUCUUAAAAAGAUAUAGUUAUGAUUUUGGGUUAAAAAAUAAUGGAGAUAUGAAUGUGGUGUUCAUUCAAUUUCAUUAUUAAAAAAAGGUAGGUGGGGCUGGUGGUCUACAUGCCUACUUUGCAUAUUCUCACACUGUGGGUGAAGAAUGGAGGUAAAAUAAGAUAAAUUGAAUUCAAACAAUUUUGAAUGGAAUAGAUAUGGCCAGCUAAAUAAACUGGUAUCUUUUUAUGAGAUAACAUUUAUGUCCAUAAUACCACUGCCCCACAUUUCAACAAUGACAAUUCGGUGUGUGCAAACACGUUAUGCACUUCUAGAACCUUCCAAAGAUGCUCCACAUAUCCCAGAAUAAUAUAUUUUACCCUUACAGAAAAGUAUCAAUGAAUGCCCUACUGGGAUCCUCUAUUGUCAUUGCCCUUCUUAAUUGACUCAUGACUUGUUUCUUUUGCAUUGGGAAGCUAACUAUGAUAAUAAGUUUUUUGAGUAUCAAAUAUAUUCUUACUAUGUCCCAUAAAAUCUCUCAUAGUUUCUUCAUCUCAAUCGUGGCUUUGUCAGGCAUCACGCUAAUUCCUUUUUUCUCACCAUGUGAGUAGUUUAGAUUUAUUUUAAUGUUGCAUGAAUAGUGCAACUAAGGUUCUCAGUACUGUCUCGAAUCGGAUGGUUCGGGGCGUGCCGAACCGGACCAGCGGAGAAUCGAGAUGGUACCGAUGGAGAAAAUGGCACAUACCGGUGCCGGAGAAGAAAGAGAGGGAAACAGAAGGGGAGAGAGAGAGGAGAAGUGGGAGAGGCCGAUGGCCCUCUACGAAAGCUGGCGGUGGCCCUUUGCGGCUGUCGGAGGGUGGCGGAAGCUGCCGCGGUUUAGUUCGCCUGAUGGGGCUGCCGCAACGAGCGAGAAAGAGAGAGAGGAGGGGAGACCACCAGAGAUGGAAGGACGAGAUGGCGAAGAGGCCGUCGGAGGUCUCUGGGUGGCCGUCGUGGCCAUCGAAUGGUGGAAGUGGCGCGGGUGGAGGUGCGGAAGUAGGGUCGGACCGACUUUAAGUCGGGCUUUGGGCUUAGCCCGAAACAAUUCAGGCCGAGUUUGGGCUUCAAUAUAGGGCCCGUUUGUCUUUCGGAUCGGGCUCGGGCAUAUUUUUGACCCGGUCUGAGCCCAAUGCAGGCCCGAACCCAAAUCUCAACCCGAUCAAUAGUCCAAAAAAUCUUAUUAAAAACCUAAUAGCCCGGUCAAAUCUGAUUCUAAAUAAGUUAAUCCAAUCAAUAGUGUGAGUCCAAUCUUGACCAAUUAGGACUCGCCUUAAAAUUCCAAAUCAAUUCGUCUAUCCAGUUGCUUAAAAUCCCUUCUCCACCUGAUGCACCCAUCUUCCAAUCUUCCCCCAUCGCUCUCUUCGCCCUAGUUGUGUCCGUCUGCCGCGCUUGUUCGUCCGCCACCCAAAAACUACCCCAACCCACCCUCAUCUGAUUCCUCGGAGAUUGGCAGAGCAGAAAGCACCGCACGGUCCGUCCUCCGACGACAUCCGAUCCUCUGACGUUCAUACUCCAUGCGGUCUUCACCUUCACAUCCGUACCAACCCCCCUUCGACAUCAUCGACUCCUGGAAGCACCCACUGGAGGGAUCCUCCACCUGCCCCCGUGAUUAGGGCGGGAUCUCCUGCGACAACUCUAGCGUUGUGGUCUCCCUCAGUCUUGACCUCACUAGCGGGAUCUCCUGUGACAACUUCGCAACCUCUCCCUUUCCGACAGAGGAGGGGAGGGAGGGCCGACGAUCGGGGAGGGAGGCGACGAAGCGUAUGGAAGUUUUGCGAAAGAGAGAGGUGGGAAGGAGAGAGAAAUAAAGAGAAGAGGGAAGGAGUUGGGCUAGAUCUCAAGCUUGGGCUCGGGAUUGGGCCGGCCCGAUUAGGUUCCGACCGAGUUCGGGCUCGGAUCAGGCUCGGGCCUUAUGUUUAAAUUUUUUCCGGACCUAAGCCCAGCCCGAAGCCCAAAAAAAUAUUUCGGGCUGGGCUCGGGUAGAGGUGUGGCCCGGCAUAUUUCCAGCCUUACAUGAAAGUGGUGGGUGUCAGCCAUUUUUAAAAGGAAAAGACGAACGGUGAAGCCGGCACUUGGUUUGCCGACUUCACUGUUUUAGAAUUUUUUAAAAAUAGUUUAAAAAUAGUGAAGUCGGCACUCGAUUUGCCGGCUUCACUAUUUCAAACUUUUUUAAAAAAAAUCUAGAAAUAGUGAAACCGACAAUGGAUUGCCGGCUUUACCAUUAUCAAGCUUUUUUUAAAAAAUCUGUGAAACAGGGACGAUCACCCCUGUUUCACUCCACAGACGGCGUUUACGCCGCUUGACGGCCACGACGGUCAGUCGAAGGCCCUCCGAUGACCUCUCUGGCAGAUCCCCCUCCCUCUUUCUCUUCCUCUUUUUUUCUCUCUUUCUCUCUUUUUCUCCUCCGGUCCUCCCUUUGUCGGUUUGCACCGUUUCAAUCCAGUACAGAACCGUAACGGACCAUGCGACCGACCGAAGCAGCCAUCGAGAUCGGUUUUCAAAACUUUGAGUGCAACCAUUAUGAUUAAUGCUUUAAGACAUUGGGGAGUGACUCGCAUUAGGAACAUAGGGUUUUCCAGAAAAUUUGGGAAGUCAAAAAACUUCUUUGAGUUUCAAAUCAGAUAUUGACAUGUUAUUGGGUAAAACAAACAUUAUUCUUAACAGUUGCACCAGGGACAUACAUUAACAGGACCCCUAUUACAGGCCAAAAAGAUAGAACUGCUAAUGCUGUUAAACCUAAAAUAAGAAGAAUGUUAAUAAUAAUUAAAACAUAAGAACUGAUUUUCCUACUUCGCAACCACUCAUAAAAUGCAGCCAAAUUGACCUAUCUUUUGGAGAACAGGCAGAGGAAGAGGGGAAUACCUGAUUUUAUUUAUUUAUUUUUCUUUUUACAAGAUCCUAAACUUCGGCCAUAAAAAUCUAGAAAUUAAAGCCCUAAUAUUUCCUUCCUGCAGCUUUCCCCCCAGGAACUAAUCGAGCAAAACCUGUUCCUCAUAUUUUCUCCAGCCAUCUCUUCUCUCUCUAGUUAGUGGCUUAGAAUCAAUAAAUACAUCGAUCCGAAACAGCACUAAUAACCAACGCGAGUGAUCUCGUGAGCAUUUCUGGGUUAAAAUAGUGGCUCGUAGACAUACUGGAGAGAGCUGAAACGAACCAAGCUGCGAACUUUAUAGCAGAAAAGGAUUUAAUGAAAGAGAACGAGAAGAAAACUAAACGGCGCUACUUGGUUGAAAUCAAAGACUUCAACGAAAGGGAAACACAAAGAAAAGAAGAAAUUGUUCCAGAUUAGAUACAAAGUUAGGGCGCGUAUCAUCAAACUAGAAACAGGAAUCAGUAGUCAUCGGUCUUGCACACAAGAUAGAAGAAUCCAUGAAUCUUAGAUCGCUGGUCAGAUGUUAUUAGGGUAUUAUCGAUCGGAUAUCCCCAAAAACAUUAAUCAAAUCAGAGCAAAGGAAAUCUAUGUAUUCCCCAGAAAAGGAUUUUUUUUUCUUUUUCUUGAUAUAAAACAGAGUACAGGGAGGAGAUAUUUACCGCGUUGCUUUUUUUUACCCCUCGUUCCGCUGCUCCCUCUCUCGCUCUCUCACUCUCUG
rnacentral:lncRNA from 1 species